GCCACGCAGAGUUCACAUUUGGCUAUUUCUCAAAAUAGAAAAGUCAAGCUUCUUGCUGUUCUAACUUCAAAUCCAGCUGUCUGUGGGGAACCUGCAGUACUUGCUCGCUCUUCUUGCCUGGUCAGCACACCUUAUCUCUCUGUCUCUCUUUGCCCACGUUGUCUCCUUAUCAGCACCGCAGAGACUGCACCUUUGAGCCCCCGGGAUAACCUCUCCCUAACAUAACCACGCCUUCAAAGGCCUUUUACCUCCUGAAGAAACAGUUGCAGAUUCCAGGCUUCUUCGGGGAAGGAGCGUGCCUUCUAACACCUAGCACAGUAUUCAAACCAGAUCUAUUAGUGCCUGUCCUUUGAUGCGGCCGAGUCUCCUCUUUGAACAAAAACCAGGCAGAAGUAGUUCAGAAGUUUCAUUUAUUCUGUUGAGUAACUGAAUCAAUUCAAAACUUGUUUUUCCCUCUUUUAAUUCCAGAUCCUGGGUGUUUGGCUGACAUACAGAUACCGGAACCAGAAAGACCCUCGCGCCAACCCGAGCGCUUUCCUUUGACGAGAAGACAAGGAGAGGCUUUCCUGUGAUCUUGUUCUCUUUCUCCAAUCUCAAGUUAAACUAAGUUGUUCAUAUGACGAAGGAAAUGGUAUUUGAAAACCACAUUAUCAAUGAGCGAGUUAAAUAUUUUACUCUUAAGUUUCUCCAAACAGUUUGUUCUUUCCAUUGCUGAAAAGGCAGUUGAUGUCUCCAGUGUUCCCUGACCCUCAGUGGUCCCUGUAACCCUACUGUUGUCCGUUUCUGGCUCUGUCCACUGUGGCCUUUCUUAGCAUUUUUACCUGCUGUAAUCUGUGUAUGACACCCCUGGGUAGAUGAUAUUGUGAGCCCAGAUCUUCAUCUCACCGGGCUAAUUGUCCAGAGUGCUGUGCGGGCAGCUUCACCCUAGACAGUUGAUGGUUUUUGAAGCCAGAAAGGAAGAGACUCUGUUGUGUUCGGUUCAUUAGGAGAAAUCUAAGUUCCCAAUCCUUUUUGUCUUUUGGGAACGCUACAUUGUAGUGAAAAGUGUUAGCACAGAAGUAAUAAUUUAGUUCUAGUAGUCUGUCAGUUACAUCCAUGUAUUCUAGAGAUAGCUGUGUCUUUAGGAAAAUGAAGUUCAGUUUUUGAUCUUUUUAGUCAAGGGCAAAGAAAUACCAUUUGGGAAAUGUUUUGUUGUGUAACAUUUAUCUUCAGCUCUCAAAAUGGGAUGAAUUUGAGGAAGAGAGAGUAUAUAUCUACAUAAUCUGACAUUUUUUUUUUAAAAAAAUAGGAAGUUCAAAACCCUAUAUAUGUAAACAACUUUCAGUCAAUACAUUGGCCCAGGCCCAUGUAACAAAUAGAUAUUUGAUUCUCAUCUUUAAAAAAGUAACUUUUUGUUUCAAGACAGGGUUUCUUUGUGUAGCCUUGGUUGUCCUAGAACUAGCUCUGUAGACCAGGCUGGCCUUGAACUCACAGGGAUCCGCCUGCCUCUGCCUCCCAAGUGCUGGGAUUAAAGGCACGUGCCACCAUCACCUGUCAAAAAAUAACUUUUUAAUAACAUUUCUUGGUAUUGUGACAGCAAGUUGUCAUAUCCAAAUAUAUUUGAAUGUACUACCUCCCAUAAGUUGAGAGAGAAAUGAUGUUUGUGGCUCUGUAUACUACAUUAAAAAAUAAAAGCUGAAAACCUUCCUUUGUAUAUAGAUGUUUGAAUCAAAAGAAGGUAGAAACAUUGACAAGGUAAGAAGGCAUCUUUCCUUCUGGUUUUCCCUAGCCUUUUAUUUACCUUAAGAUGGUGUUUAACUAAGCCUUGGAAAUAAAUUCUCAGCAAUGAUGUCUGUUGGUAGUUAUCCCCACAUCCUUUCUUAGGUUAAAAAAAUAAAUAUGGGGCUUGAGAGAUGGCUCAGAGGUUAAGAGCACUGUCUGCUCAUCCAGAGGUCCUGAGUUCAAUUCCCAGCAACCACAUGGUGGCUCACAACCAUCUGUAAUGAGAUCUGGUGCCCUCUUCUGGCCUGCACAUGUACAUGUAGGUGCAACGCUGUAUACAUAAUAAAUCUUUAAAAAAAU
rnacentral:lncRNA from 1 species